GACGAACGCUGGCGGCGUGCCUAAUACAUGCAAGUAGAACGCUGAAGAGAGGAGCUUGCUCUUCUUGGAUGAGUUGCGAACGGGUGAGUAACGCGUAGGUAACCUGCCUGGUAGCGGGGGAUAACUAUUGGAAACGAUAGCUAAUACCGCAUAAAAUUGAUUAUUGCAUGAUAAUUAAUUGAAAGAUGCAAUUGCAUCACUACCAGAUGGCCUGCGUUGUAUUAGCUAGUUGGUGAGGUAACGGCUCACCAAGGCGACGAUACAUAGCCGACCUGAGAGGGUGAUCGGCCACACUGGGACUGAGACACGGCCCAGACUCCUACGGGAGGCAGCAGUAGGGAAUCUUCGGCAAUGGGGGGAACCCUGACCGAGCAACGCUGCGUGAGUGAAGAAGGUUUUCGGAUCGUAAAGCUCUGUUGUAAGAGAGGAACGGGUGUGAGAGUGGAAAGUUCACACUG
rnacentral:rRNA from 1 species